rnacentral:misc_RNA from 1 species
CAGCCAAUAAUCUGUUUUAUCCAAAACACUCUAGUCAUGGUCAAGUAAGUGUUGUUGUCUUCCUGCCCAAAGUUUUUUUUCCUUUGCCUAUGCAAGUCUAGUUGAGUUUGAUAUUGGCCUCUCGAGUCCUUUCGAUUCUGUGUUAGUUUGUUGUCCUUUGAGUUUUCUUAUCUGUCAAAACGAAACAAAAAAAGAACAAAAUUUCCACCCUUCAUUUCGAACAAAUUUUGAGUGAUCAUGGAAGAAACAUUUGUUCCCCUACGUGGAAUCAAGAAUGAUCUCAAGGGGAGAUUGUUAUGCUACAAGCAAGACUGGACUGGUGGUCUCCGUGCUGGUAUCAGGAUCCUGGCUCCAACGACCUACAUUUUCUUUGCAUCAGCAAUUCCGGUUAUUUCAUUCGGGGAGCAACUGGAAAGAAGCACCGAUGGAAGUAUAACUGCAGUGCAGACUCUUGCUUCAACAGCACUUUGUGGUGUAAUCCAUUCCAUUCUUGGUGGACAGCCACUCCUUAUACUAGGAGUAGCUGAGCCAACUGUCUUGAUGUACACUUUCAUGUUCAACUUUGCGAAAGAUCGGAAGGACUUGGGUCCGAAUCUCUUUCUAGCCUGGACAGGAUGGGUUUGUGUUUGG